CAGUAGCCGCGGUAAUACGAAGGGGGCUCGCGUUGUUCGGAUUUACUGGGCGUAAAGCGCACGUAGGCGGACUUUUAAGUCAGGGGUGAAAUCCCGGGGCUCAACCCCGGAACUGCCUUUGAUACUGGGAGUCUUGAGUUCGAGAGAGGUGAGUGGAAUUGCGAGUGUAGAGGUGAAAUUCGUAGAUAUUCGCAGGAACACCAGUGGCGAAGGCGGCUCACUGGCUCGAUACUGACGCUGAGGUGCGAAAGCGUGGGGGGCAAACAGGAUUAGAUACCCCCGUAGUCCCUGUCUCUUAUAC
rnacentral:rRNA from 1 species